rnacentral:piRNA from 1 species
AACACAUCAGUAGUAAGCCUCAA